rnacentral:lncRNA from 1 species
AUGUAGCUCCAGCAGCAAUUGUGUAGCGAUGUCAUAAAAGAAAAGCCUGAGCUAAUCCAGAAAUGGACCCGAGGAUCCCCGAGUAUGGGGUAUCUCUGGAUGAAACUCAGGGGAGUCUAUAAAUUUUAAGUGGGGACAAAAAAAUCUUCACUUUGAUUAACCGGUAGCAGAAAUGCAGCAUUUUGUUCCAUAAGAGACACAGCCAUCAGACCAACGGAUUGUUCAUCACAUCUGUGACUUUGUCAGCUCAGGAAAUCGUGGGUAUUUUUAGACGAUAUUUCAUAACCUCAACUUGACAUUGUAUAUGUCCCUCACUGCCUCAAAACUACAAUAGUCAUUAGGACAACUGGCUAACUUGCUAUAUAAUGUAAUUGAGAGGUAUGUAUCCUAUGCCACUUAUUAAAGAAAAUCUAAGAACACAUUGUAUAGGCCUCUAAUGGCAUAAUUCAGAGGGACAUAUGCUCCUCCCCCACCACAGGGAGAAUGCUAUCGUAGAAAUUGUACUACCAUGUUUUCUUUGCAGGCUGAUAAUUUGCAUAUUUCUCAGGGUCUGUUCAAACAUGCCACCAGUGUGGCCAGCUGAUGGCAGUGACAGAGUUGUGCUAACCUGCUCCACCUUCCUCUCCCGAAGAAGCUGCUGGAAGAUUUUAAACUGCAGUUUUGUUUUCUGGCUCCUGCGCAGGGGGCUACAUCUUACCAUGAUGGUGAAGGCAUGGCUGCUGGGGUGUUCUGGUCUGUGAUGGUGAAUAAGUCCUACCAUGAUGGUGAAGGCAUGGCAGCUGGGGUGUGGUGAUCUGUGAUAGUCUGCACUUCAGAUCUUGUCGGACCAGGAAGCCAGGAAAACUAGGAUUGGAUCUAGAAGCGGAAACCACCUUCCAAGCUUGCCCCUAGAAGCCUACUUUAACUAGGAAGGCCACAUUUCUUAAAGGUCCCCAAUCCCCAAAGCAUGACUGCCAGCUGGGGACCAAGGGUUUAAGCACUUGAGCUUGUGAGAGGAUGGUACCACUUGAAGUGAAAAAAAAAAAAAAGUUGACAGUUCUGAAAUUUUGAUUGGAUUUUUACUUUUGUUUAUUUUUUUAUUUGAGACAGGAUUUCAAAUAGUCUAGGCUGACAUUGAAACUCAUUAUGUAGUCUGAGUUAGUUUUAAAUGCCUUGCCCCAAAUUCUGGGAGAUAGAUAUGCUCCACCAUGCAUGCCUUGCACUCUCCAUUUUAGUUUCAAUGCAAAUCCUAUUUGUUUUAUAGUCGGAAUAAUGAAUCAAUAAGUGGAAGGAGGUUAACAAUGGGAUGUAGACAACUAUUCCGAAUGGCUGGAUAUGGGAUCAAAAUGUCCAGCUGGUUUGAAAUAAAGCUUGAGAACAGCUCA